UCCAACUUGAAGUCUACUCUGAUGGGAUC
rnacentral:piRNA from 1 species